CCCGGCCAUGCUGCCUCGGCGGCCGGGGCCCGCAGCCUAGCGCACUGCUACGCGCCGCAGCGGCCGGCGGGAGGGAUCGGCUUACUGCAUGAAGAAACUGAAGUGAGAUUAGAUUGAGAAGUAUUUCCCAUGUAAAUCAACUAAAAUAAAAUGAAAGAAAUUUUUAAGUAUUUCCUGGUUACACAGAUGGUAAGGAAUGGAGUCAGACAAAUGCCAAAGCAGGGUUCUCUAUGACAAAUAAGUCUGACACAAGAUUCAAUUCAAAUGAUCCCUCUCUUGUUCACCUUAUCAGGUCUGAAAUUCCUACGCAGACAAUCUCAACUUAGAAAAGACUGUCUCCAAAGUCACUGUUAAGAGCACAUGUAUGGUUUCUCCCAUUAUUACAUUUUUGUGAAGAUUUCUUUAGUUCAUCCAAUUUGCCGUUGACUCCAAAAUUGCAGUGGCCUUUCAUGGGACAAGACACAGGAACUGUAAGGAGCUUUUGGACUUCAAGACCACUGAGAAAGGAGUUCCCAUUGUAGCUCAGGAGUAAUGAACCCAGCUAGUACCCAUAAGGAUGCAGGUUCGAUCCCUGGCCUCACUCAGUGGGUUAAGGAUCCGGCACUGCUGAGAGCUGUGAUAUAAGUUGCAGGCAAGGCUCAUAUCCCAAGUUGCUGUGGCUAGGGUAUAGGCCUGCAGCUGCAGCUCCCAAUUCGACCCCUAGCCUAGGAACUUCAUAUGCCACAGGUGCAGCCCUAAAAAGAAAAAAAAAAAAAGACCACUGAGAAAGAUUAAGAUGGCUUGUCCUAGAGACAAGGGAACGGGAAGCUGGUGCCUUCGACUGAAUUGAGGGAGGGUCACGACUGGCAGAUACCUCUCCCAAGAGAUCCCCCAUAUGGAGAGAAACUUGCAGAUACUUUUGGAGUCUAAACUCCAGAGCAUCAGCCUUGAGAACAGAAGAGGCAACAGAAGACCAUUGUGGGGCCCUCUCUGAACCCACACAGAGCUUGUGAACUUGGUGGUCAGUGGACGUGGAGGAGCAGCCCUUGACUGUGUGGCAGAGGGUACCAAGGUAACUGUAAUGGGCACCCCGAGAAAAAAGACCAGGCCCCUUUUCCCCAUUUUCUGGGUAUCGCGUAAACCCCCAAGGUUUUUUUGUUUUGUUUUGUUUUUGGCAAUUCCAAGGAGUGGACUUCUCAAAACACGGUGAGACUUUUUUGGCCAACUCUGGCAAAUGGAACUUGGAGUUUGACUUUAUUUCAUUUAGAAAACUGGAACUGAAGGGGGGAAAUUCAUUCUUGCCACACUGUAAUUGCUGGGGAAGAUACACUGGAUGAUGUGAUGCUCUCAUCUGGCUGGCACCUGUCCUAAAGAGAGCAUUCAGUGCCCUUCACACCCAGUCUCCAGCCUGUCUUUCCAGCUUUCUCUCCAUUUCCAGCCUUCCUUUCUUCCUCCAGUCCACACCAAGGAUCUUAUGCUUCCGCUCUUCAAAAUUAUGCAUCUUCCCAAACACGCCCCCACAUCUUUGUUCACACUGUUCCCUCUGCCUAGUUCUUUCCCCUUUCCACUAGGCGGUAUCCUACAAAGGCCAGCUCGUAAAACCUGUGACACAUCCAGGAAGAUUCAAUCUGUUCUUGGAACACAUCGUUAACCCUCUUAUACAUGUGUUAAAGGCUAUAAUACUUAGUUACCUGUCUCAUCAGGCAACCUGCGAUUCCUUGAGGGCCAGGCUCCUACAUGAUUCAUCUCUCUAAGCCAGCGUGUAGCCCAGUACCUGGGUCAGAGAUUCGUUCUGUCGGAAUCAAAUCUAAUUUUAUGAGUGCUUGGUCCAGGAUAACCCUGCUUUUCUUGCUUCUUGCUAACCUGGUGUCACCAUACACACAUGCAUCUCUGGGCAUCAAUGCUCAGGGCGAAGCCUCAAGGAACAGGCACACAGGCUUCACACACCCAGGCAUCUGGAGGUCAGUGGUGUCUCUGGCGUCUAAGACACACGUUGGAUGCAGCAGGUUAAAGAUCCCUUUUAUCACUACAAUGGCUUGGGUCACUGCUAUGGUUUGAUCCCUGGCCCGGCAACUUCCGUAUGUCAUCUUCGUGGCCAAAAAAAAAAGGAAAGAAAAUCAAGACUUGACACUCAGGCUGAUUUAGAAAGCAUUUCAUAUCUGGUUUCUCUUUAUUAUGACCAUUUGUGCUUCUACAGCGUAUUUCUUACAUUUAUCAGAAAAAAACGAAAGGCGAAACAAUAACAACAACCAAACAAUAACAACAACAAGGCCCUGGAGACUGUUUCUAUUUCUCAAAGGGAAAUGUGAGUCUUUCCUAAGCAACUGUGUUUAUUUAAAGGACAGAGAAAAGGAGGUGGGGGCAGGGAAAGGACUUUUAAUGUCAUUUCUUCUUGUCUGAGGUUUUGGGGGUGGGUUUUGUUUUCUUUUUCUUUUUUUGG